UUCUUGUUUCAUACCUUCUUGAUUUUUCAGCAUCAACCUCGGGAGUAGAUGGGAGCUUGUCGGUAUCUAGAUUUCCCGUUGAUCAUGAAAUCAAUUUGAGGAUUUAUUUGUAGAUGGAUUCUGUUGUAAAUUCAACCAAUGAGGUGUUCAAUGAUCCCACGACAUUAACAAAGGAGGAGCUGUAUGAUUUGCGAGACCGCUAGGCAACUUGUUUUCUUGACCUAUAUAAUCCUGAGAUAGAUUAUGAUGAUGCCGAUGAGAAAGAUUAGGAGCUAGCUAGCUAGGUUUGUGUGAAGUUACAAUGGAUUAGUAUUAAUUAUGAUGAUGUUUUUAUUUGUAUUUUGGAUGUUCAAUGGUUGUAUUUUAACGACAUUAUUACUAUAUGUUGAAUGUUGAAUUUUAGUAUUAUGUUCUUGAUGCAAGUUAUGUUA